AAGAGGGUGGGUGGCUGGGACCCGAGGCCAGCGAAAGGAGACUUCCUGGGUUGUGGGCGUCCACCAAGGAGGUCCUCACAGCGGGCAGCCCCACACAGAGGAGACCCCUCCCAGGAGGUGCCGUCUCCGCAGGCUUCGGGAGGGCGGGUCUGCGCUCCCACGCAUGCCCCGUUGCAGGGUCUGCCGGUGAACGGGGCCUACGCCUAAUGUAACCCCCUUUCUCUACACAUCACCCCUGGGCCACCUCACUCCAGAAGUAAGCUCAGCUCCCGCUAGUCCCGGAGUCCGCAGCUGGGUCUGGAGCCUGGGCCGCCCUAAGGAGAACGCAGAAGGUGCUCUCUGCCUGAUCUACCCUUUGGAGCCUCUCCAGUGCUGACCUAGACAUGAAGACUACCCGGUCCCAGCACCCUGGCCCGCAGCUCUGCAAAGCAUUGGCGGCAUCAUUAAUGCAACUGGAGUGCUCCGGUGUGAGGAGGGGGCUGCCCGGCUGCCGCUCCUCUUCCCGCCCUGAGAUGGAUGUUUCUUUAUUGCCCAUAAAUCUCGGCACAGUUCUCUGUGAAGACAAAUAGGAGGCCUCCUAGUCCCUCGUGUUUGUUGGGCUGGUCGGUGGUGGGUUUAAUGAGGCCCCAGCACACACAGGAGCAGCUCUGGAGAACCGAGGGGCAGACCACACCACGCUGGGUCUGCAACCGAGCAGCCCCUGCCCUCUUGCUUUGUCAGGAGAACUGAGGCUGGUCCACACGAGAGAAUAAUAUGCUACUCCUCCCUCACACGUGCUGGACCUGCCGCGUGGCCGGCUCUUGCCCAUCUAGCCCUGAAGCAGCCCAGGUCCGUGCUUGCCUGAGCAACCUCAAGCGGCGCCUGUCAGCCCUCAGGAAGCCUUCCUUCCCGGGGCUUCCUUUGGAACACGGUCGGUGCCUAACAGGGGCAUGAACCAGCCAGAUGCCCAGAUGAAUGGGGCCCUGCCUCCACCUGCCUGUGCUGAAGCAUGAAGGGCAUUUCUCCAGGUCCAGCCACAGUACCGGCCAAGAGGGCAGGGUCCAAAUGGAGCUGGGUGUCUGCUGUGCAGCCUGCCAGGCCUCGUGUGGAAUAUGCUAUUUGAGCCAGGGAGGCAGGUAGAUGUAGGGGUGUGUGUGUGUGUGUGUGUGUGUGUGUGUGUGUGUGUGUGUGUGUCUCAGGAUGUCAAGUGGAUUGCCCUGCUGGUGUGCCCACAGAAGUGAGGUAGGUGUGAGCUGAUAGCCUGCUAGGCCCGGUCAGGUUUCCUUCUACCAUUUGCUACGUGACGUUGGGGUCCCUUGCUCCACUCAAAUCCAGAGUGUGAGGGCCAAGAAGACAGGCUAUGGGUUGGCCUUGGAGCGUGAGAGGCUGUGUGGAGAGGGCUCAGGCAGCAUGGAGAUGCUGAUUUUAAGGCGGAAUCCACAGUGGCUUGAGAUGACUUUGGGGCCAUAUGACGACUAGACAAUUGAUUGCAGUGGUCACAUAGUCAGCACGGCCUGGAGUGUUGUCUUCCCUCCCAAAUGACAUCCCGGGCUGCCCAGCACACAGAGAGAGGUUGAUACCUAGAAUUCUGUGACAUUUCUGUAUUCCAGAAUGUCCUGGGGGCAAGCUUAAAAUCAUAGGCACUUGUGUAAGCAAGUGUGACCUCAGGUCCAUCCCCGUUCAGACACGUCUCCUCACUCCUCUGGCCUUCACACCAGGGGUAUCAGCAGUGUCCCCGUGGGCCCUGGACGUAAGGUUCCCACCCCGUGCUGGGGAGACAGAGACCCGGGGCCUGGCCUGUGGCUGAGGCACAUGUCCCCCCCCACGGUGGGAGGGGCUCCCCAUCUUGCUGCAGCUCCCCUCUGUGCCCAGCUGGUCUGACAAAGUCUCACUUCUCCGCAAACAUGUUUCUGGCAUGUUCCCAGUCUCACUGGACACUAACUGGACAUCAACUGCUGCGUAUUCUGCUGCUUCUAUUA